rnacentral:misc_RNA from 1 species
AACUUUUGGCAAUGGAUCUCUUGGUUCUAGCAUCGAUGAAGAACGCAGCAAAAUGCGAUAAGUAAUGUGAAUUGCAGAAUUCCGUGAAUCAUCAAAUCUUUGAACGCACAUUGCGCCUUCUGGUAAUCCAGAAGGCAUGCCUGUCUGAGCGUCAUUACACUAUUCAAACCUUUCUUUUAUUAGAAGUGGCUUGGUUUUGGAAGCAAAUUGUCAGUUUUACCACUGCAGUUUCUUCUGUAAUGCAUUGAUGAGCGUCUACUGUUCCUUAGUUGUAGCAAGCAUUUUCUCAACUUCAAGGUAGUAGUAGAUGUCCUACUUUCUAUUGAUGAGUCCUUUUGGGCUUAACAUUUUAAAGUUUGACCUCAGAUCAGGUAGGAAUACCCGCUGAACUUAAGCAUAUCAAUAAGCGGAGGCU